AGUGAACGCUGGCGGUAGGCCUAACACAUGCAAGUCGAACGGCAGCACAGUAAGAGCUUGCUCUUACGGGUGGCGAGUGGCGGACGGGUGAGGAAUACAUCGGAAUCUACUUUUUCGGGGGGGAUAACGUAGGGAAACUUACGCUAAUACCGCAUACGACCUACGGGGGAAAGCAGGGGAUCUUCGGACCUUGCGCGAUUGAAUGAGCCGAUGUCGGAUUAGCUAGUUGGCGGGGUAAAGGCCCACCAAGGCGACGAUCCGUAGCUGGUCGGAGAGGAUGAUCAGCCACACUAGAACUGAGACACGGACCAGACUCCUAAGGGAGGCAGCAGUGGGGAAUAUUGGACAAUGGGCGCAAGCCUGAUCCAGCCAUACCGCGUGGGUGAAGAAGGCCUUCGGGUUGUAAAGCCCUUUUGUUGGGAAAGAAAAGCAGCAGGUUAAUACCCCGCUGUUCUGACGGUACCCAAAGAAUAAGCACCGGCUAACUUCGUG
rnacentral:rRNA from 1 species